rnacentral:ncRNA from 1 species
CAUUGCCUGUCCCACUAUAGGGAGCUGGCCAUGUUUGAAAUCAUUACCCUUAACCGUAAGGAGGGGGUGUCUAAGGCUAGGCUUGCGACUGGAGUAAAGUUGUAACAAGGUAGCCAUACUGGAAGGUGCGGCUG